rnacentral:lncRNA from 1 species
UUGGUUAUUUCCAUAUUAGCUUUUCUUAUCCUGGCCUUUAAGCAUCUUCAGACUGUGACUACAAUAUUUACAAUGGAUAUUUGUACACUAUUUUAUAGCUUUGAUAUGUACUACAGGAAUACAGAUAGGGUUCUAUGUUAAUAUAACCCACAUUGAAAUAUCAAAGGAAAAACUACUUUUCUAUCUAUCUAUCUAUCUAUCUAUCUAUCUAUCUAUCUAUCUAUCUAUCUAUCUAUAUGUAAUUAUCUGGUAAAGUGCAGUAUAAAUAUGAUUUAAAAGACUAAAUAAAGAAUAUAAAAGAAUCCUUCUCUCCCCUCUCCUCCCAUCUCCUCUCUUCCCCAACCCACCACUAUCUUCUCUUUCCUUUCAAUGUUGAGACAGGAUGUCCCAUCUAGCCCAGGCUGGUGUGGAACUCACUAUGUAGCCCAGGCUGACCUUCAACUCACAAUCCUCUUGCUUUGACCAUGUGAUGAGAGUAUGGAGAUGUGCCACCACAUUCAACUUGGAUGUCUUCUUAACUCUAUAACAUGCAUCUAACAAAAUCCUAUACUAAGCACACGUAAUGGGAGACAUCGGAGUAUCUUUGGAAUGAGGCCUGUGAUGAGGAUCUUCCCGACUGGGCUACAUGAGCCCCAAGCCAGCCUGGCAUUAUUUUGUCAUCUUAGCCAGUACAAAAGUUUUCACAGUAAAGAGAUGCACAAAGAUGAAUAGAGUUAUGUAAUUCAAACUGGUUAAAAGGAAAAAAAAACCUCAAGGGUCUGGAGACAUGGCUCAGCAAUGAAAAGCACUGCUGCUCUUCUAGAGGACCCGGCUGGGUUUUGAUUCUCAGAACCUGUAGGCAGUUCUCAGCCAUUCGUAACUUCAUUUCUGGGGGAGGAGAUGCCUUCUUUUGGCCUCCACAGCUACUAGGUACGCACUUGUACCUAGUACAUGCUAACAAAAUAUCCACAAGAAUAAAAUUAUUUAAAAAAAAAAGCUAGACUUGGUGGCAUAGCCUACAUAGACCUACAUAGACAUACAUGCAAACAAAAUAUCCACAAGAAUAAAAUUAUU